ensembl:lncRNA
GAGUGUGUCAGCAAGUCUGAGAGUGACAAAGCAGAACAUCCUCCUCCUCCUCCUCCUCCAUAUGAUCUCCUGAACUUGGCGCGUCCUGGCUCAUGUAGACUGAGGCUUUGCCUUUAAAAGCUCAAGCGUGGACCGGUGAACACAUAGUCAGCGUGCUCCGCGUCUGAAACACAUUACCUUCAACCGAGAAGCGUUUGACUGAGGGCACAUCACCGACCAUGAGCUCUUCACGCAGCGUGGGACUUUAUCUGACGCUUUUACUCGCUCUUCUGUGCGAUGCAUCGGAAGACCCUCCUGUCCAAAAGGAAGUUACUGACACAGGGAUUGAUAAAGAUGGCCUUCAGCAUGAGUUGCCACUUAACCCUAAGGUGCUGGACGUUUUGAUGAUGCAGAAACCGAUCAUCCCUGACCCUUCCAAAGUAAUAGUUGCAGGCUCUUCAGACACGACCC